ACAAUGAAAUUAACCUUCUC
rnacentral:miRNA from 1 species